CGGACGGGUGAGUAACGCGUGGGUAACCUGCCUUGUACUGGGGGACAACAGUUGGAAACGACUGCUAAUACCGCAUAAGCGCACAGCUUCGCAUGAAGCAGUGUGAAAAACUCCGGUGGUACAAGAUAGACCCGCGUCUGAUUAGCUGGUUGGUGAGGUAACGGCCCACCAAGGCGACGAUCAGUAGCCGGCCUGAGAGGGUGAACGGCCACAUUGGGACUGAGACACGGCCCAA
rnacentral:rRNA from 1 species